CCUAAAGAUAUGCAGUUGAGUGCAGUGUCCACACAGAUUGUCUGAUGAAAAAGUAACGAGCAGAAAUACCUUUAUAGGCUUGUAGCUCAGGUGGUUAGAGCGCACCCCUGAUAAGGGUGAGGUCGGUGGUUCAAGUCCACUCAGGCCUACCAAAUUCGCACUUAUGCUGCGUUAUGCGCGCGGUCGUUUACCCAAAAGUAAACUUCCCUUCCGCAUGCCUUGCCUAAGCACGAAUUAACAGGGUUUCCAACAGGAAAGACUGUUAUUCACGCGAGUGGUAAAUAAAGGUUUCUGCAAGUGACUGUAUGGGGCUAUAGCUCAGCUGGGAGAGCGCCUGCCUUGCACGCAGGAGGUCAGCGGUUCGAUCCCGCUUAGCUCCACCAUAUCCAUAUGGUCCUUGAUAAUACUUCAGAGUGUACUGGCAACAGUAUGCUGCGAAGUAUUUUGCUCUUUAACAAUCUGGAACAAGCUGAAAAUUGAAACAUGACAGCUGAAACUUAUCCCUCCGUAGAUGUAUUGGGGUAAGGAUUAACCUGUCAUAGAGUCUCUCAAAUAAACAGCACGACAGUGUCUCUGUUUACAGAAACACCUUCGGGUUGUGA
rnacentral:misc_RNA from 1 species